GUGGGGAAUAUUGCGCAAUGGGGGAAACCCUGACGCAGUGACGCCGCGUGAGCGAAGAAGGCCUUAGGGUUGUAAAGCUCUGUUUUAAGGGACGAAUGUCGUGGGGAGUAAUAUGCUCUGCGAAUGACGGUACCUUAAGAGGAAGCCCCGGCUAACUACGUGCCAGCAGCCGCGGUAAGACGUAGGGGGCGAGCGUUGUCCGGAAUUACUGGGCGUAAAGAGCACGUAGGCGGGAACUUAAGUCAGGUGUGAAAGACCGGGGCUCAACUCCGGGGUUGCACUUGAAACUGGGUUUCUUGAGGGCAGGAGAGGAAAGCAGAAUUCCUGGUGUAGCGGUGAAAUGCGUAGAAAUCAGGAGGAAUACCAGUGGCGAAGGCGGCUUUCUGGACUGACCCUGACGCUGAGGUGCGAAAGCGUGGGUAGCAAACAGGAUUAGAAACCCUUGUAGUCC
rnacentral:rRNA from 1 species